CCUACGGGUGGCAGCAGUGAGGAAUAUUGGUCAAUGGACGCAAGUCUGAACCAGCCAUGCCGCGUGCAGGAAGACGGUGCUAUGAGUUGUAAACUGCUUUUGUACGAGGACAAACUCAGGUACGCGUGUCUGUCUGAGAGUACCGUACGAAUAAGCAUCGGCUAACUCCGUGCCAGCAGCCGCGGUAAUACGGAGGAUUCAAGCGUUAUCCGGAUUUAUUGGGUUUAAAGGGUGCGUAGGCGGUCGGUUAAGUUAGCGGUGAAAUCCCGAGGCUCAACUUCGGACUUGCCUCUGAUACUGUUCGGCUAGAGAGUAGUUGCGGUAGGCGGAAUGUAUGGUGUAGCGGUGAAAUGCUUAGAGAUCAUACAGAACACCGAUUGCGAAGGCAGCUUACCAGGCUACAUCUGACGUUGAGGCACGAAAGCGUGGGGAGCAAACAGGAUUAGAUACCCCAGUAGUC
rnacentral:rRNA from 1 species